rnacentral:rRNA from 1 species
UAAUACGGAGGGGGCAAGCGUUGCUCGGAAUUACUGGGCGUAAAGCGAGCGUAGGCGGUUAAUCAAGUUGGUGGUGAAAGCCCGGAGCUCAACUCCGGAACUGCCAUCAAAACUGAUUUACUUGAGAUUGGUAGGGGAAAAUGGAAUUCCUAGUGUAGAGGUGAAAUUCGUAGAUAUUGGGAAGAACAUCGGUGGCGAAGGCGAUUUUCUGGGCCAUAUCUGACGCUGAGGUUCGAAAGCGUGGGUAGCAAACAGGAUUAGAUACCCUGGUAGUCCACGCCGUAAACGAUGAGUGCUAGACGUUGGAAAUUAAUUUUUCAGUGUCGUAGUUAACGCAUUAAGCACUCCGCCUGGGGAGUACGGUCGCAAGAUUA